CAAACUAUACACAACUUUCGACAACGGAUCUCUUGGUUCUCCCAUCGAUGAAGAACGCAGCGAAACGCGAUAGGUAAUGUGAAUUGCAGAAUUCCGUGAAUCAUCGAAUCUUUGAACGCACCUUGCGCUCUAUGGCAAUCCGUAGAGCAUGCCUGUUUGAGUGCCAUGAAAUCUCCCACCCCAAGCGGUUUUUAAAUGAAACGGCUUGGCGGAUGGGGUCUGGAUGGGUGCCUCUGCCUGCGCUACCUAGCACAGGCUCGCCCGAAAUGCAUGAGCGCCUUGAGACACUUUGCAUCCGCCUCUCUGUUUGGGAGGAGGCGGCCAAGCAGUGUUUUUCUCCUGGCAUGGCAUGAUACGUCAUUUGCUAUGUCGCCUAAAGGAGGAAUGUUUGGUUGUGUCUGCGUGUGCUUCGAACUUGCCUCUGUGGCACAUCCCAAUUUCACUUCUGGUCUCAAAUCAGGUAGGAUCACCCGCUGAACUUAAGCAUAUCAAUAAGCGGAGGAAAAGAAACUAACAAGGAUUCCCCUAGUAACGGCGAGCGAAGCGGGAAGAGCUCAAAUUUGAAAGCUGGCGUCUUCGGCGUCCGCGUUGUAAUCUCGAGACGUGUUUUCCGUGCGGCUCUAUGGACAAGUCCCUUGGAACAGGGCAUCGUAGAGGGUGAAAAUCCCGUACUUGCCAUGGAAGUACCGUGCUUUGUGAUACACGCUCCAAGAGUCGAGUAGUUUGGGAUUGCUGCUCAAAGUGGGUGGUAGACUCCAUCUAAAGCUAAAUAUCGGGGAGAGACCGAUAGCGAACAAGUACCGUGAGGGAAAGAUGAAAAGCACUUUGGAAAGAGAGUUAAAAGUACGUGAAAUUGUCGAAAGGGAAGCACUUGAAGUCAGCCAUGCUGCUUGAGACUCAGCCUGGCUUUUGCUUGGUGUAUUUCUCGGUAGCAAGCCAGCAUUGGUUUGUGUCGUCGGAGAAGCGUAUGGGGAAUGUGGCAUCCUCGGAUGUGUUAUAGCCCUGUGC
rnacentral:rRNA from 1 species